rnacentral:lncRNA from 1 species
ACCACAGCUCUGCAGAGCAGAGUUCUGGCCCACUCUCCCCCCACCUCACCCCCCGUGGCUUGGGUCUGCCCUUGUUGUCCUGACCUGCCGGAGGUUUCAUCAGCAUUACCUCUGACUCAUACUUCGCAUUCAAGAGCAAGAUGAAUUCGCUAGCAAUGAGUACCUGGAAGAGGGCCAGACUAUUGGUACUAAAGCAGUGCUGGCCCCAACACAGCUCGCUGGGCCAGACGUUGAUGGGAAAUGGCUGACAGCAGGAUAAACAAGCAGCUCCCUUUUUGGUGAGCUUCAGGGGAAUCAGGUGGACAGAAUCAAGGCUUCAGCCCUAAAGAUGAGAAUUUAAGCUGGAUCUCCUAGAGGAGUUGGGAUCAAGUCUAUGUACUUGGAGAAUACAAGAGAAGGACCCAGCUGGGUGUGGUGGCUCACACCUGUAAUCCCAGCACUUUGGGAGGCCGAGGCGGGCGGAUUACCUGAGGUCAUGAGCCCCAGACCAGACUGGCCAACAUGGCGAAACGCUGUCUCUACUAAAAAUACAAAAAUUAGCCUGGCAUGGUGGUGCACACCUGUAAUCCCACCUACUCAGGAGUCUGAGGCAGGAGAAUCACUUGAACCCAGGAGGCAGAGGUUGCAGUGAGCCAAGAUUGCACCACUACACUCCAGCCUCGGUGACAGGGUGAGACUCUGUCUCAAAAAAAAAAAAAGAGAGAGAGAGAAGGACCCAACCUUUGGGACAGGGAGGAGGAGAGUUGGUUUCCAGAAGACAGUAGGAUGGGAUUGAUGCACUUACCUAAAGCUCAGGAGCUGGUAGGAGCGCCAAUAGCCAUGGUUCUGCCUGAACCCAGGCAGGCCAGGAACUCAGCAUCCUGAGUGGGAUUCUCAGUGAAGAUAACACUGCUAAAACCUGGCCAUGGAGAAUAUAAACACUGCCAGAGGAGUUACCCAUGACAAAUGGAUUACAUGGUCAGGAAGUCCAAGUUCUCAGAGAUAAACCCAACUAACUGAUAACCAGGAACUUCAUCCCCAUUAUCUCUGACCACUGGGUCCUAGAGUUCUUGUAUAAUGCCAAAUGGGUAAGAGGAGCUCCCUGAGAAAAUGACAGAUUAGACUUCCCACCAACCCUGAUGGAAGGGACAGAGUCUUACUGAAAUGAAUUUAGAAAAAUAAAAGCAUGCGAUGACUCUUUCACCUAUGAACUGUGGAACAAAUCAAACAUGCAACAUAUGUGAUGCAAUAGGAUGUGAUUGGAUUUUAUUUACAUAUCAGGGUAUCCAAUGAUACAAAAAUUGUUUCUAUUUCCACAUCUGUCUCACAAUAGACAUAAUAAUUUAAGAGAGAUUAAAUAUUCAAAAGUAAACAAAGCAAGCAAACAGAAUCUCAGAAGAAAGUUUAGAAGAAUAUAUGUAUAAGUUAUGGAUCAGAGAGACUUUUAUAUACAUUGUAUCAAAGCAAGAAACUUAGUCCAGGAACAGUGGCUCACAUCUGUAAUCUCAACACUUUGAGAAGCUAAGGCAGGAGGAUCACUUGAGUCCAGGAGUUCAAGACCAGACUGGGCAACAUAGCAAGUCCCCUGUCUCUACAAAAAAUAAAAAAUUUAGCUGGGCAUGGUGCCACACGCCUGUAGUCCCAGCUUCUUGGGGGGGCUUAGGUGGGAGGAUCACCUGAGUCUGGGAGGUCGAGGCUGCAGUGAGCCGUGACUGUGCCAUUGUAUUCCAGCCUGGGCAAAAGAGUGAGACCCUGUCCCUGCCAAAAACCCCAAGCAAACAAACAAACAAAAGAAACUUAAAAGCGAUAGAAGAAAAUGUGGACAUAUUUGAUAUAUAAAUAUGUAAAUUUUUUAGUAUAGAAAGACAUACAAUUGUUCAAGGUAAUAUACAAAUGCUAGAUUAGGGGGAAAUUGCCAUGGAUAUGUCAGAUAAGAUGUUACUAUCAGUAAAAUGCAAAUAACUCCCACAAAUUAGUAAGAAAUAGAUAAACAGUGAAACAAACAUAAUAGCAAGUAAUAUGACUAGAAAAUUCACAGGUGAGCAAAUCCAAAUGGUGAUUAAACUCAUAAAAAGAUGCUCUAUUUCACUAGUUAUCAAGGGAAUGUAAAUUAAUGAUAUUUAUUCUCAUUUAUCAGAUAGACAGUUUUUUUGAAAAGGAUACUCUCACACAUUGGUGUUGGAAAUUUAAGGAAGAUUGAAAUGCACACACAUAUAUCUUAUAAUCUAGAAAUCCUACUUCUGAGAAAUCAAUACUGUAGAAAUAUGAGAGCCAUCUCUUCGUGGUAUGGGGUAGGAAAAGUUUCCUCAAGAAAACGGAGAAAACAUGAACCAUAAAGGAAAAUGUUGAUAAAUUGGCUAUAUUAGUAUUUAUUUCUAUAUGCCAAAAUAUGUCAUAAACACAUUUAAAAGGAAAGUCAUAAACUGGCAGAAGAUAGCUGCUACUCAUAAAAUGAUCAAAAUAUUAAUAUCCAGAAAUACUUGUUUUUAUCUAUAUGAAAUUGCCAAUAUUCAACAAUUUUUGACCAACAAAAAAGAUAUCUGACUCAACCUAAUACACAUAAUUUUUCCAUAUUCAAUAAGAAAAAGACAACCCAAGAGAAAGAAAUGGACAAAGCACAUGAAUUCACAGAUGAGGAAAACCAAAUGGCCAAUAAACCUUUCAUAACUACGCUUAAUUCACUAGAAAUCUGGGAAAUAAAAUAAAAACUAUAAUGAGACAGCAUUUCAUAUCAUAAAGUUGGCAAAGAUUAAAGAGGAUUGGUAAUAAUGUGGGGAAAUGGGAACUCUUAUAUAUUGUAGAAGUACAUAUAGGUAUAAAUUUGGCAAUACCAUGUGAAGUUGAUGAUAAACACCCCCACCUACUUCACUGCUGGGUAUAUGUACCAAAGAGAACCUCAAGGAGACAUGUAUAGGAAGGAUUUAUGAAGCAUCAUUUAUAUAGCAAUUGGCAUGAUAUGAAUGACAUUGUAUUUUAUAGGUAAAUAUUGAUAUGAGAUAGAUUUAUAUCUGUCAAAAUUAAAGAUCUAACUCUACAUAUGUCAAUGUGAUAAGUCUUUCAAAAAUAUAAUGUUGAAUAAAAAACAAAUUGCAGGAAAAUACCUAGAGUAUGAGCUCAGUUAUGUACAUUUUAAAAUUACACAGGACUUUAUACACAUAGUAAAAUGUGAAUGGAGACAAUAUAUAGCUGAUUUAAGAUAAUGAUUAGAGAGAGAAAGAGAUGAAAUGGAAGAGAAAUAAGGAGAUCUUUAACUACAAUUCCAACCUUGUUUUUUUGCUUUCUUUUUUUUUUUAAAAAAAAAACCUGAAUAUGGCAAAAUGUUAACAAUUGUUUUAAAAAAUAAUGUUUCAGGCUGGGCACAGUGGCUUAUGCCUGUAAUCCCAGCACUUUGGGAGGCUGAGGCGGGCAGGUCACCUGAGGUCGGGAGUUUGAGACCAGCCUGACCAACAUGGAGAAACCCCGUCUCUACUAAAAAUACAAAAUUAGCCAGGCGUGGUGGCGCAUGCCUAUAAUCCCAGCUACUCAGGAGGCUGAGUCAGGAGAAUUGCUUGAACCCAGGAGGCGGAGGUUGCGGUGAGCCAAGAUCGCACCAUUGCACUCCAGCCUGGGCAACAAGAGUGAAACUGUCUCAAAAAAAAAAAAAAAAGUUUCACACUUCUGUGUUUUUCAGUUAUCAUCUGUUCUUUCCUCUAUGUUUGAAAUAUUGACACUUUUUUAAAAAAGAAAUAAAAGUUAUAAUAUGUAAGAUUCCAUGAACAAGGAUGUUCGUUGCAGCAUUGUUUCUAGAAGAGGGACCCGUCUUGGUGCCCAAUGAUAAGGGAGUAGUUGAGGAAACCGUGGUACAUCCAUACUAUGCAGUUCAUUCAUCUAUGGCUUGUGAUAGAUUGAAUUGGGCUUUUGUUUAGUUUAAGUAUUAAAAAAAUUGACAUUAAUUUAGUAUCUCACAUUGUUGAAGUAAUGAAAAAUGGGAUGCACAGUGUUCUGAAACUGGCUGCGUAAUAUUUCAUCAUAUAGAAGCAGGUGACAUCAUAGGUGAAUGUUUGCCCACUUGCUCACCCUGUUUAUUAAUGAUACAUUUCUUUUUCCCUCUGCCCCUCCUAUGUCUUUGAAGCUUUGAUUCAGAGCGUCAUUUACCAACCUCCAAUUCCUCUGUGGUUAUGGCCGGAACCUCUGAUCACAUAAUUUCGCAAGAGAAUAAAUUAUGACAGCAGGGUCUUUUGGUUUGAUUUCUAAUUAAACAAAAAGGCCCUUAAUAACGAACUCUCUCAUCAAUUUAUGUGGAUGGCAAAUGUCAGAGAGCAACUUGGGAUUUCAGCUUUCUUCUUUCCUAUCAUCAAGGAAAGUGUCACUCCUCUGACUUAUACCUCUCUGUCCACAGCAUCUUUCUUCAAGAGCUCAGUUAACCUCCUGUCACUGCACUCCUGAACUCCUGGGUGAUGCCAGGCAGGAGAGUAAGUUACAGGCAUUCUUAAAGCAUUUCUGCUGAAUAUCCAGGGGACUGGAGAAAAAGUGGAUAACUUGUGCAGGGCAAUGCUAACAAUACUAAUAAUAGAACAAUGGCUAACAAAGGGCCCUGCAUCGCCAGACCCCCCUGUGCUGUCUUCAUGAACUCAGUUCCUUAUAAAUACAGCUCAUGAAGAUUGUUGCUCUAUCACAGAGGUUACACCAUUAUUUGAAAGAAUCAAUAACAUUCACAUAGUUCCUUAAAGACAUUCUGCUCUCUAAAUUUCUUCCUUUGGCUGGUAUUUUAAGAGCUGCCUCUAUACUUUGGAUGUGUGGUCUACUGAUGUUCAACAGCUAUGAAAGGAUCACUCAUUUACCACACCAUGGCCUUCCAAAGCCCUUGUCAUCCAGAAAUAAAAUUUCAUUUCUUAGGAGGAAAAUGAAAGUUUUGGGUUUUUUUCCCCCUUGUAAUGUUGAGAGCUUCUUCUCACCACAGCAAAUUGGAUCAAAAUCUCCCAAAGGGGCACAGAGACAAAGGGAAAUGAUCUGAAGCUUCCUGGUGAAAGCAGGUCACAUUAUCCCCUCUUCCUCGUCUUUCCCGUCAACACCUCUGCAGGAGGUGCGCCUUCAGAAGGCAGUGUUGAGGGACUGCACACACAGGCUUCUCCAGCCUGGGAAAUGGGAGUCAAAUUGAUAACUACCAUUAACAUGCUCGCCAUUUGCAAACUACUUCCCCUUGAGUGUUUAAAAGCAUUUUUUUGGUCAAUUGAGGACAAAGAAAAUGCCCUUUUCUGUGCUGGAAGAAAACAAGUUAAUGACUUCAAUUGCUUCCCUUGCUGUGGCUAGCUGAUUUCCAAAAUCUCCUUUACCCAUAAUGGUUUGGAUGCUAGGGCAUUCUCACUGUGAUGCUGACAUAGCUAGACAGUAGAGAGCUAGUGUCACGCUGUGGGUAGCUAGGGGGCAUGGACUUUGCAGAGGGAUCUGUAAAACUGAGAAUCCAGUUCCCAGAGACAGAAUAAUAUUAAAUGUCAAAUGUGGCACAUUGAUGAAACUAUUUUUGUUUGAAAUUACACCCAAUACAUAGUACUAAUGCCUAUCCAAAUAUUAAAAUUACCCCCCAAAUGGAACACAUUUGCUGUUCUUUAAGAUGCAUUUUUAAACUGCCACUCUGUAAUAAUUCUGGCCUUUUAUAGAGUCCAGAAGUCCAAGGCCACACAUCCUCCUCAUCAGCAUUCACUUGAGAGGGCCUGUAACCUUUCAGAUGAGGAAGCACUACUUUUUAUUUUUCUCAUGCUUUUAGAUAAGUCUGCUAAAAGGUCUGGUCACAUCUGAGAUUAGGGCAUAUUGACCCCAAAGAAUGGGGAAAGGGGACUUCUAUGCUACUAAGGACUGAGUUGUGUUCCCCCAUGCCUCCACCUUCCAAAUUCGUAUGUUGAACCUUAACCCUUAAGGCAAGCUUGUCCAACCCACGGCCCGUAGGCUGCAUGCGGCCCAGGAUGGCUUUGAAUGGGGCCCAACACAAAUUUGUAAAACACUAUGAGGUCGGCAUGGUGUCUCAUGCUUGUAAUCCUAACACUGUGGGAGGCUGAGGUGGGUGGAUCACUUGAGGUCAGGGGUUCAAGACCAGCCAGGCCAACAUGGUGAAACCCUGUCUCUACUAAAAACACAAAAAUUAGCCGGGUGUUGCUGCACAUGCCUAUAAUCCCAGCUACUUGGGUGGCUGAGGCAGGAGAAUUGCUUGAACCUGGAAGGCCGAGAUUGCAGUGAGCCAAGAUGGCGACACUGCACUACAGCCUGGGCUACAGAGCAAGACCCUGUCUCAAAAAAAAAAAAAAGCAAACAAAAAAAAGUAUGAUAUUUUCUUUGGUGAUUUUUUAAGUUUUAGCUCAUCAGCUAUUGUUAGUGUUAGUAUAUCUUUUGAGUGGGCCAAGACAAUUCUUCCAAUGUGGCACAGGGAAGCCAAAAGAUUGGGCACCCUUGCCUUAAGGUGAUUUGAAAAUAAGAUCUGUAAGGAGGUAACAAAGGCUAUGUGACGUGACAAGGGUGGGGCUCUGAUAUGACAGGAUUAGCAUCCUUAUGAAAAGAGACGCCAGAAAUCUUGCUCUCUCCUUGCACAAAAAGGACAUGUGAGCACAAAGCAAGAAGGUUGCCACCUACAAGCCAAAAGAAGAGGCCUGAGAAUGAAACCUAUCUUUCUAGCACCUUGAUGUUGAACUUCCUAGCCUCCAGCACUGUGAGAAAUACAUUUCUGCUGUUUAAGCCAUGCAGUCUGUGGUAUUUUGUUAUGGCAGCCCAUGCUGACUAACACAGGGACAUAUCUUCAGGCACGUUCACAUUUCAAUUUAAAAUCCCACUGUGGCAGUAGCUGAGACUUCUUUUUGAAUUAGGUUGAAGGAGUUCAGGACAUGGCACCCCAAAAUAUGCCACUUUGGUAUGUUGAUUAUUUUGAGCUUAAGGCACUUGAAAAACAGCAAAUGCAAGAAGCUUUCUCUAAGCUCUUAUUACCUGCCUAAAGACAGAUCCUCCAAGAGGAACUCAAUUGUCAUAAAUUCCUUCCCCAGGAGUUUCAUCAACCAGGAAAGAUUGAUUCUUAAUCACAAGAGAGGAGACCAGAGGUUGACACCACACCCAGACACACUUUGUCACAAACUGUUAUAUCUCUCAUCUCUUCUUCUAAGGGUCCAUUAAUCUUUCCUAAAAUUCAUUGACUCUUCCCUAAGUGGUCUACAACCUCUCUCCACUUCUCCUCUUAUGACAGUGUAUAUAAGCUCUCAAACAUCCCCACUUGUGUAUUCACAUUUUUCCUGUGAUGUCUCUGUGCAUGUAAUAUUACAAAAUACGUUAAAAAUAAUUUAUUACUUAAAACUUUAGAUCAUAUUUUAAAAUAUUAAAAAUUACAGUGAAAAUUUUGUUUUUUGUGUCGUUAA